CAGAAACUGCAUGUGCUGCUUAGAGAGUGCUUCUCCCACAGAGUUAUUUCUGUGCAGACACCUGGAAGUGGUUGCAUACUUGCUCCGGCUUGCAGACGAGUUUUGGACAGUCAGGUAGAGUGGUAGAAAAUCUUGCACUUCUAAAUGGAAGAGAAUCCAAGAGCAAGAAACACUUUAGGAAAAAGGAAAGUAGUAGCUUCCUGGAGGGAAGAGGAGUAGCAAAUGUGAGAGGAACCAUUCAGUCAGAGCUCGUGACAAACGGCAGUCCUAGGCCAGUUCCCACAGGAAGAGAAAGAAAAGUACUGUGAUCUUCCUACAUUAAGGAGCAGGAAAGAAGGCAACAGAUGAUGUGUAUGCAUCAAGGGUGAGAGGGCAAAGGGAAGCGAGAAUGAGACUGGAAUUGUUUGUGAACACCUCUGAUAUUCUAAUGCUGUUUAGCCCCAUACCAUCUCCAGAGAGCCCUGGAUACGUCUGUAGUAGGUGAAGUCAUUUUUGUAAUAAAGUUGGCUGUGGCUCUAGGUCA
rnacentral:lncRNA from 1 species